rnacentral:rRNA from 1 species
AGUGAACGCUGGCGGUAGGCCUAACACAUGCAAGUCGAACGGCAGCACAGUAAGAGCUUGCUCUUACGGGUGGCGAGUGGCGGACGGGUGAGGAAUACAUCGGAAUCUACUUUUUCGUGGGGGAUAACGUAGGGAAACUUACGCUAAUACCGCAUACGACCUACGGGUGAAAGCAGGGGAUCUUCGGACCUUGCGCGAUUGAAUGAGCCGAUGUCGGAUUAGCUAGUUGGCGGGGUAAAGGCCCACCAAGGCGACGAUCCGUAGCUGGUCUGAGAGGAUGAUCAGCCACACGGGAACUGGGACACGGUCCAGACUCCUAAGGGAGGCAGCAGUGGGGAAUAUUGGACAAAGGGCGCAAGCCUGAUCCAGCCAUACCGCGUGGGUGAAGAAGGCCUUCGGGUUGUAAAGCCCUUUUGUUGGGAAAGAAAAGCAGCAGGUUAAUACCCCGCUGUUCUGACGGUACCCAAAGAAUAAGCACCGGCUAACUUCGUG